rnacentral:lncRNA from 12 species
UUGAAGGCUUUUUCUUUGGCACAAACAAGAGGGAAAAGGCAAAAAAAGGCCAUUUUAAUGCCUCCCCACCCCAUGGGCUGGACUGGGCUGGACUGGGCUGGACUGGACUGGACUGGACUGGACUGGACUGGACUGGGCUGGACUGGACUGGACUGGACCGGGCUGGACUGGGCUGGACUGGACUAGACUGGGCUGGACUGGGCUGAACUGGGCCGGGCUGAGAACGCGCCCAACUCAUCGCACAUCCCGCUCCGCUCUCCGUGCGCGGCCCCUUUAAAUCCUCCGGGACGGCACAGCCCACCGCGGGCCCGAGGGGGGGGGGGGGGGGGGGGGGGGGGGGGGGGGGGGGGGGGGGGGGGGGGGGGGGGGGGGGGGGGGGGGGGGGGGGGGGGGGGGGGGGGGGGAUGUCCCCUCCGCGCCCCUGCAGCGCGCAGCCGGUGCGACCGCGCCCCCCCUCCACCCCUCCGCGAGCAGUGGUACAGCCCACAUGGGUGUCUGUGGGGAGGGAGCGCGGCCAGCGCGGUGUUGGGGCGCUCGGAGCCGCCUCAGGGCGGCGAUCCCUGCUCCGGGACGAUCCCGGGAAAACCGGAGACUCCCGGUGCGCGGGAGAUCCGCGGUGCGCGGGAGAUCCCCGGUGUGCAGAGAUCCCCGGGGCGCGGAGAUCCCCGGGGCGCGGAGCGGAAGAUGGCGCGCGGGCGGCGUUGAGGGUUUUCCCGGAACGGCGGGGGAGGCGCUGCCGGGACCUCGUGGCGCAACGUCUAGAUCUGUAGCAACCUUUGGAACAAAAGAGUUCAGAGUGCAGCAGCUGGAGCCCGGAAUUCAGGAAAAUCCGAAUAUUUGAUGUCUCUGCUGCCAAAUGAGGGAAUUACAAGUUGAUAUAAUCUGAUUUUCUUGGAAUUCACUGCUGACAAACGCAGCAAUUAACUCCAAUCAGUUAAUUACAGCCUCACUCUGCCACCUCCAGCUUUGGUUUGGGGUUGAACUCUGGUUUUCUGGUUGUUUUUUU